AACGAACGCUGGCGGCAUGCCUAACACAUGCAAGUCGAACGGGAUCCGGACUUCGGUCCGGUGAGAGUGGCGGACGGGUGAGUAACACGUGGGAACCUGCCUUUUGGUUCGGGAUAACUGCGGGAAACUGCGGCUAAUACCGGAUGCUCCCGAGAGGGAAAAGAUUUAUCGCCAGAAGAGGGGCCCGCGUCCGAUUAGGUAGUUGGUGGGGUAAUGGCCUACCAAGCCGACGAUCGGUAGCUGGUCUGAGAGGAUGAUCAGCCACACUGGGACUGAGAUACGGCCCAGACUCCUACGGGAGGCAGCAGUGGGGAAUAUUGGACAAUGGGGGGCAACCCUGAUCCAGCAAUGCCGCGUGAGUGAUGAAGGCCUUAGGGUUGUAAAGCUCUUUUGCCAGGGAAGAUGAUGACUGUACCUGGAGAAUAAGCCCCGGCUAACUUCGUGCCAGCAGCCGCGGUAAU
rnacentral:rRNA from 1 species